CCUGACUGUUUAGAAUUAUGUCGGGUGAAAACACGUUUAUGGCAAGAAUAUUUAGACAACUUUGCAAAACUCAACAAGUUGACACUUAUUGAUAACUUACUAAAGAAAGCAGACGUACUAAAGAAAGCAGACGUGCUUUGUAUCGAAUGCAAAACAGAAGACGCCGUUCAAGAAAUAGAGCAUAUAGACGACCUUCCAAGAAAACAUUUUCUGCAAUGUAGACUGCGUAAAAUCGAAAUGAUCGAUAUUGGCAAGCCUGUUGCUGUCUUUCUGAAGACGUUUAUCUUUAUUCCAACACAGUAUCAGAAGGCACUUACAUUGGAUGAGGUUGAAUCAUGUUUGGAAAUGCUCAAAAGUGUCUAUCACAACGGUUUACUUGAAGCUUUGUGUAUUGUUACACAACGUAUGAAAACCGAUAAACUGUGUGGGCAAAGAUUGAAAAUCACGUGUGAG